rnacentral:rRNA from 1 species
CCUACGGGAGGCAGCAGUGGGGGAUAUUGCACAAUGGGGGAAACCCUGAUGCAGCGACGCCGCGUGAGUGAAGAAGUACUUCGGUAUGUAAAGCUCUAUCAGCAGGGAAGAAAAUGACAGUACGUGACCAAGAAGCACCGGCUAACUACGUGCCAGCAGCCGCGGUAAUACGUAGGGGGCAAGCGUUAUCCGGAUUUAUUGGGUUUAAAGGGUGCGUAGGCGGAAUGCCAAGUCAGCGGUAAAAUCGCGGGGCUCAACCUCGCUCCGCCGUUGAAAAUGGCGUUCUUGAGUGGGCGAGAAGUAUGCGGAAUGCGUGGUGUAGCGGUGAAAUGCAUAGAUAUCACGCAGAACUCCGAUUGCGAAGGCAGCAUACCGGCGCCCAACUGACGCUGAAGCACGAAAGCGUGGGUAUCGAACAGGAUUAGAUACCCUUGUAGUC